rnacentral:rRNA from 1 species
UUGGAGGGCAAGUCUGGUGCCAGCACCCGCGGAAAUUCCAGCUCCAAUAGCGUAUAUUAAAGUUGUUGCAGUUAAAAAGCUCGUAGUUGAAUUUCGGGAUCAGUAGGUUGGUCAUGCCUAUGGUAUGCACUGGCUUUACUGGUUCCUCCUUCUUGAUGAUCUGUAAUGUCAUUAAUUUGGUGUUGCAGGGAGUCAGGACUGUUACUUUGAAAAAAUUAGAGUGUUUAAAGCAGGCAUACGCUUGAAUACAUUACCAUGGAAUAAUGAAAUAGGACGUUCGAUCCUAUUUUGUUGGUUUCUAGGAUUGACGUAAUGAUUAAUAGGGAUAGUUGGGGGCAUUAGUAUUCAAUUGUCAGAGGUGAAAUUCUUGGAUUUAUUGAAGACUAACUACUGCGAAAGCAUUUGCCAAGGAUGUUUUCAUUAAUCAAGAACGAAAGUUAGGGGAUCGAAGACGAUCAGAUACCGUCGUAGUCUUAACCAUAAACUAUGCCGACUAGGGAUCGGAUGAUGUUUUUAAUGACUCAUUCGGCGCCUUACGGGAAAC